AGCGAACGCUGGCGGCAGGCUUAACACAUGCAAGUCGAGCGGGCACACCGGUGUCAUCGGCCGACGGGGGUGUAACCCGUCGGAACGUACCCUUGGGGUCGGCAUAACGCUGGGAAACGAGCGCUAAUACCGGAUACGCGCUUUUGGGGAAAGGCUUGCUGCCCAAGGAUCGGCCCGCGUCUGAUUAGCUAGUUGGUGGGGUAAUGGCCUACCAAGGCGACGAUCAGUAGCUGGGCUGAGAGGAUGGUCACCCACCCUGGGAGGGGGACACGGCCCAGACUCCUACGGGAGGGCGCAGUGGGGACUAUUGGACGCUGCGCGCAAGCCUGAUGCAGCCAUGCCGCGUGAGUGAUGAAGGCCGUAGGGUUGUAAAGCUCUUUUGCCCGGGACGUUAAUGCCGGUACCGGAAGAAUAGGCCCCGGCUACCUCCGU
rnacentral:rRNA from 1 species